AUGGAUUCUGAAGCAAUGAGUACCUGUAAAAAGGCCAGGGCGGAAGCUGCAUCAGUUGUGAGUACAGACAGACUUAGCAAUCUACCUCCAGAGAUAAAGGGCGACAUCCUCUCACGUUUGAAUGUCGAAGAAGCGGUUAGGACUAGUACCUUAUCAAGUAUUUGGAGGGAUGCAUGGACUGACAUGCCAGUAAUAUCUCUGUGCGAUGGAAAUCUUGCAAGAACCAAGUUCGUUACGUUAGUCGAUAUGGUGCUAUUACUUCACAAGGGAACAAUAGAGGAGUUUGAUAUUUCAGGUAACAAAAAUUACCAUGAUGAGUUCGGUAGGUGGAUGAUCAUGCUGUCAAGGAAAUCACCAAAAUCAGUUAUAAUCAAGUUGAACUCGGGGCCAAGGUAUAAGAUUCCCUCGUGCCUCUUUUCUAUUGGUGAUCUGGAGUAUCUGCACCUAGAAAACUGCAUCAUCAGCUUGCCUCGGGCAUUCCAAGGUUUCAAGAGCCUAACUGACCUCACCCUGAAACUCUUCUCCUCCACAGACAAGGAUAUCCAAAAUUUGAUCUCGUUCUGCCCCGCACUGACUGAUUUGAUAUUAGAUUCUUUUGAGGGCAUCAACCGUCUAAACAUUAAGGCUCCUAAACUGGAUUAUCUUUAUGUUGAAGGGGAUUUUGAGGACAUUAAGUUGGACGCACCUAAUCUGGAGGUGGCCUUUCUCUCUCUUGAUAAAGCGUAUCAAUCUGUUCCAAUUGCGCAUGACAAGGAAAGCUAUGUCAAGCAGUCCUUGGGUAGCCUAAGUGUCAUUGAAACACUUACAAUUAAUGGUUUUUUCCUAAAGUAUCUAUCAAAAGGAUGCAUACAUACGAAGCUCCCUGCCGUGUCUACUCACCUGGAGAGUGUUCGUAUUAUGAUAUGCUUGUGGGGUCAGAGGCAAGUCUUGACUGCAUGUUCAUUGUUUCAGAACGCCCCUAACUUAAAGAAGCUUGAGAUGUGGAGUUUUCCUUGGAGCAUCCUUGGUCGGGAUGAGGAUCAGGUGGGCAUUCAAGGACUUAACCUGCAAUUGCAAAUGGACCAUCUCGUAAUGGCUAGUGUGAACCAUUUCGGGGGUCUGGACUGCGAAGUUGAUUUCGUGGCAAAGCUACUAAGCUGGGCACCAGCUUUAGAAGAACUGAAGAUAGACUGGAAGGGUGAAAUGGAAUGUAGCAUGGUUCUUGCCAAGCUAUUAGCUCUGCCGAGGGCGUCUACCAGGGCCAAGGUCAUUGUCACAUUUUGA
rnacentral:rRNA from 1 species